rnacentral:rRNA from 1 species
UGGGGAAUUUUGGACAAUGGGGGAAACCCUGAUCCAGCCAUCCCGCGUGUGCGAUGAAGGCCUUCGGGUUGUAAAGCACUUUUGGCAGGAAAGAAACGUCGCGGGUUAAUACCCCGCGAAACUGACGGUACCUGCAGAAUAAGCACCGGCUAACUACGUGCCAGCAGCCGCGGUAAUACGUAGGGUGCAAGCGUUAAUCGGAAUUACUGGGCGUAAAGCGUGCGCAGGCGGUUCGGAAAGAAAGAUGUGAAAUCCCAGAGCUUAACUUUGGAACUGCAUUUUUAACUACCGGGCCAGAGUGUGUCAGAGGGAGGUGGAAUUCCGCGUGUAGCAGUGAAAUGCGUAGAUAUGCGGAGGAACACCGAUGGCGAAGGCAGCCUCCUGGGAUAACACUGACGCUCAUGCACGAAAGCGUGGGGAGCAAACAGGAUUAGAUACCCUGGUAGUCCACGCCCUAAAACGAUGUCAAACUAGCUGUUGGGGCCUUCGGGCCUUGGUAGCGCAGCUAACGUGUGGAGUUGACCGCCUGGGGAGUACGGUC